UGGACAGGGGGGUUCCUGCUCAUCCGGCAGGGCCUGUCCGAUGGGCCGCCCGGACGCCUGCGCCGAGCGGCCGGUGGUUGUCGCUCGGGGGUGAUCGCCG
rfam:Streptomyces thermolilacinus SPC6 TNC:Contig_1, whole genome shotgun sequence.